AUUGAACGCUGGCGGCAGGCCUAACACAUGCAAGUCGAGCGGAUGAAGGGAGCUUGCUCCUGGAUUCAGCGGCGGACGGGUGAGUAAUGCCUAGGAAUCUGCCUGGUAGUGGGGGAUAACGUCCGGAAACGGGCGCUAAUACCGCAUACGUCCUGAGGGAGAAAGUGGGGGAUCUUCGGAACUCACGCUAUCAGAUGAGCCUAGGUCGGAUUAGCUAGUUGGUGGGGUAAAGGCCUACCAAGGCGACGAUCCGUAACUGGUCUGAGAGGAUGAUCAGUCACACUGGAACUGAGACACGGUCCAGGCUCCUACGGGAGGCAGCAGUGGGGAAUAUUGGACAAUGGGCGAAAGCCUGAUCCAGCCAUGCCGCGUGUGUGAAGAAGGUCUUCGGAUUGUAAAGCACUUUAAGUUGGGAGGAAGGGCAGUAAGUUAAUACCUUGCUGUUUUGACGUUACCAACAGAAUAAGCACCGGCUAACUUCGUG
rnacentral:rRNA from 1 species